rnacentral:tRNA from 1 species
AGAGCAAUGCCUUUUAAGGCAAAGCGCAAUAAUCAAAAGGGAAGUUCUUAAAGAUCUUUUUUGGUCUUGAUUCUAUAGCUGUCGAUUUAAUAUUUAAAGAAUAAGGACAGUCUCAUAGCUCAGCUGGUUAGAGCGCUACACUGAUAAUGUAGAGGUCGGCAGUUCGAGUCUGCCUGAGACUACAGCCUAAGGCUGAUUUGGUAUCAGGUCAGGCAUUAGACAACAACGUUCAUUACAAAUUGAAAGGAAAUUUUAUAGGUUGAGUAGCCGUUAUAAGUACUGUUAACUAAUAACUGGUUAACUGGCAACUAAAAGACGGGGGAUUAGCUCAGCUGGCUAGAGCGCCUGCCUUGCACGCAGGAGGUCAUCGGUUCGACUCCGAUAUUCUCCACGAUUCCUUAAGAUUUAAGGGAGAUAGGUGAUUUAAACAAUCAGGAAAUGCGUUUUGCAUAUUCGUUUGGUUACCAUCGAGCUUAGGUUGUUAGAGAGGAAAAAAGUUCAUUGACAUAUUGAGAAACAAAGAAUACGAGAAAACUACAGUUAUAGAAGUUAAAUUUUAUAACGAGGUAAAUUAAAUUAAUAGAAUACAUUGUGAUUAAGGUCACGAGAAAUUCGAGCAUAAGCAAGAAGCA